rnacentral:rRNA from 1 species
CCUACGGGAUGCUGCAGUGAGGAAUAUUGGUCAAUGGGCGGAAGCCUGAACCAGCCAAGUAGCGUGCAGGAUGAAGGCCCUACGGGUUGUAAAAUGCUUUUAUACAGGAAUAACGCGCCUUACGUGUAGGGCUUUGCAUGUACCGUAUGACUAAGGACCGGCUAAUUCCGUGCCAGCAGCCGCGGUAAUACGGAAGGUCCGGGCGUUAUCCGGAUUUAUUGGGUUUGAAGGGAGUGUAGAUGGGUUGGUAAGUCCGUGUUUAAAGUUUGCGGCUCAACCGUAAAAUUGCAAUUGAUACUGGCAGCCUUGAGUACAGUUAAGGUAGGCGGAAUUCGUGGUGUAGCGGUGAAAUGCUUAGAUAUCACGAAGAACUCCGAUUGCGAAGGCAGCCUACUAAACUGCCACUGACAUUGAUGCUCGAAAGUGUGGGUAUCAAACAGGAUUAGAUACCCUUGUAGUC